GUUCCUUGAUAGCUCAGUUGGUAGAGCAUGAGACUCUGAAUCUCGGGGUCAUGGGUUCAAGCCCAACAUUGAACA